rnacentral:rRNA from 1 species
UACGAAGGGGGCUAGCGUUGCUCGGAAUCACUGGGCGUAAAGCGCACGUAGGCGGACUCUUAAGUCGGUGGUGAAAUCCUGGAGCUCAACUCCAGAACUGCCUUCGAUACUGAGAGUCUCGAGUCCGAGAGAGGUGAGUGGAACUGCGAGUGUAGAGGUGAAAAUUCGUAGAUAUUCGCAAGAACACCAGUGGCGAAGGCGGCUCACUGGCUCGGUACUGACGCUGAGGUGGCGAAAGCGUGGGGAGCAAACAGG